AUUUUAAUUGAAUGCUAAGAGAAUGAAGAUUUAGAAAAAAGCUUUCUUAAAAAUAAAAAUUAAAAUUUUUUUAAUUUGUGCAAAAACAAUUAUUUUCAUUAAAGACAAGAAGACCCUAAGAAUUUUUUAAUUUAAUAAUUUCUAAUAGAGUUACUUAUUAAAUAUUGAUUGGGGUAAUCAAAAAAUAUUAAUAACUUUUUAAUAAAUUAAAAUGACCCAUUAUUAAUGACUUUUUGAAAUAAAUACUCUAGGGAUAACAGCGUAAUAAUUUUUGAUAGAUCAUAUUGACAAAAUAGUUUGCGACCUCGAUGUUGGAUUAGGAUGCUUUUUUAAUGAAGAAAUUAAAAGAAGAAGUUUGUUCAACUUUUGAAAUCCUACUUGAUC
rnacentral:rRNA from 1 species